rnacentral:rRNA from 1 species
GACGAACCGUGCAAACGUUGUUCGGAAUCACUGGGCAUAAAGGGCGCGUAGGCGGCUUAUCAAGUCAGGGGUGAAAUCCGGCAGCUCAACUGUCGAAGUGCCUUUGAUACUGAUGAGCUCGAGGGAGGUAGGGGUCUGUGGAACUUCUGGUGGAGCGGUGAAAUGCGUUGAUAUCAGAAGGAACGCCGGUGGCGAAAGCGACGGACUGGAUCUCUUCUGACGCUGAGGCGCGAAAGCUAGGGGAGCAAACGGG